GAGUUGUGUUAUUUACCUAAAGUUAAUAACAGACCAUUUUGUGAUAUGGUUUUAUUUUUUAAAAGUGAGAGUUUACAUUAAAUUUGAACUUGUACAUGUUGAGUAUAAGGUAGCUUGCAAACGUUGAUAUAUUUGUGGGAUUUGGUUAUAGCUUGUACUACUAAUGGGCUGCUUGAAAAUUAAGAUCCGUGUAGAACUCAUGCUUCAUGAAAUUUGAACCUGUACAUGUUGAGUAUAAGGCAGCUUGCUUCAUGAAAUUUGAACCUGUACAUGUUGAGUAUAAGGUAGCUUGCAUUCGUUGAUAUAAUUGUGGGAUUUGGUUAUAACUUGUACUGCUAAUUGGCUGCUUGAAAUUUGAGAAAGAUCCACGUAGAACUCAUGCCUUGAUUAUGAUGCUGCAGAUAGGAGAUAUAAAGUCAUGGGUCUAAUAAUUUGUCCAAUAGAAGUUGUCCAAAUCAGGGAAUUGAGCAAUAUUGUUUGUGUCAUAAUGACUGCCCCUUCAAGAUUUCCUCAAGUUGUCUAAAGUAUUUUAACAUAUCUGUUUUGAUGGGUGGCUGAAGAAGGUGUUUGUGUUGACUCAAUGAGCUAAAAUAGGAUGCAUCUUCUUGAAAGUCACUGAAGAAGUUUCUUUGGAAAAUGAUCUUAGUAUUUGCAAAAUUAUUAAACUAAAAAAAUUUCUGCGAACGAGUUAUUAAGGAUCAAUUAAGGCUCCUUUACCCAUGCUGGACAUUUUAUUAAUACUGGUAACC
rnacentral:lncRNA from 1 species